rnacentral:lncRNA from 1 species
CUCCACUUCCUGUGGCAGAUUCCACGCAGCUCCAUCAUUCCCUGACAGGCCGCAGUAACCAUCGCCGCUCUGCUCCACGUCCUGUGGCGAAUUUCGCACAGCUCCACUACCCCCUGGCAGGCCACAAUAACGGCCAUGAACCUGCUCCACCUCCUGCGACGGAUACCAGGCGAUUCUCCCACCCACUGGCAAGUCACGACAACGGACGCUGCUCCACUCCCCACAACUGAUUCCACGUGGCGAGCUACGGAGAUAGCCACGAUUCAGCUCCACUACCCCUCGCAAUAAAUUCUCCCUGACUACGGGCGGCCCACGACCAGACGGUUACAGACGUCGCCAUCAAUCCGUUACCUCCUCCGCCUAUAAAAGGGGGACCCAGAUACGUUAUUCUCUAGGCUCAUUUCUUAUCUCAAAACUCUGCUAAAUUCUCCGUUCGAGCACUCCAUUCUUGUUGAGGCAGAGAACUGACUUGAGCGUCGGAGGGUCUUGCCGGAGCAACCCCACCUCCGGUUUAGACUUCCUUUGCAGGUCCCGGCGGCGACCGCGGCUUCCUCGACUCCAGCUUCUCCGGUGCAAGCAGAUUUUUGCACCAACAGGAUUGGCGCUAGAAGAAGGGCUGAACCUUCGCAGCACCCUUGUUCUUAAAGGAGUGUUCAACGGAGUCAUCCCCGACCGUCUCUCCGUCACCCACUCCUAACCUCCCUUCGCGAGAUCGACACUCGAUGCCUCCGCGCAAGGCGUCCACCCGGCGGUCUACGGCCUCC